rnacentral:rRNA from 1 species
UACGGAGGGUGCAAGCGUUAUCCGGAUUCACUGGGCUUAAAGGGUGCGUAGGUGGGUUGGUAAGUCAGUGGUGAAAUCUCCGAGCUUAACUUGGAAACUGCCAUUGAUACUAUCAGUCUUGAAUAUUGUGGAGGUCAGCGGAAUAUGUCAUGUAGCGGUGAAAUGCUUAGAUAUGACAUAGAACACCAAUUGCGAAGGCAGCUGGCUACACAUAUAUUGACACUGAGGCACGACAGCGUGGGGAUCAAACAGG